rnacentral:lncRNA from 1 species
GAUGAUUUGUACAUAUUGAAUUUGCACAUAUUACAUCAUGCUUAUUAUUAAGUUUAGGUUGGGGACUCCCAUUGCUGAUUCUGUCAAAGCCCUUCAUGGUGACAUGAUAAUCACAGCCCUGUUGAGAGAUGAGCUCAUCUAGUUUGCUUCUCUAUAAUUUGGCCCAAGUCAUUGUUCUCCAGAUCCAGGAUCUCCAGGUACCUUAAUAUGACAGCACCAAGGUUCUUAUAACUUGAAUCUUAGGAAUUCCUCUAAGCCCCAUUGGAUACCAGUCUUCACGAUACAGCAAGGAUACCACAAGGAUUCAUCUUUGUUCUCCAGAUCCAGGCUGGCCCAUCCCUCAGUACAAUGGCACCUAAGGUUUUACAACUUCCAUCCUAGGAGUUCCUCUAAGCCCCACUGGAUGUCAGUCUUCACCACUACAGCAAGGAUACCACAAGGAUUCAGUACUUCCAUUCAUUGCAGCAUCAUAUC